rnacentral:rRNA from 1 species
ACAGCAGUAGCCGCGGUAAUUCGAAGGGGGCUAGCGUUGUUCGGAUUUACUGGGCGUAAAGGGCGCGUAGGCGGACUGAUAAGUCAGGGGUGAAAUCCCAAGGCUCAACCUUGGAACUGCCCUUGAUACUGUUUGUCUUGAGUUCGAGAGAGGUAAGUGGAACUGCGAGUGUAGAGGUGAAAUUCGUAGAUAUUCGCAAGAACACCAGUGGCGAAGGCGGCUUACUGGCUCGAAACUGACGCUGAGGCGCGAAAGCGUGGGGAGCAAACAGGAUUAGAUACCCGCGUAGUCCCUGUCUCUUAUAC